AGGGAAGAUGGAAUCCGCCUUCUCUUUUUUUUUUUUUUUUUUUUUUCUGAGACUGAAUCUCACUCUGUCGCCCGGGCUAGAGUGCAGUGGCAUAAUCUUGGCUCACUGCAACUUCCACCUUUCAGGUUCAAGCAGUUCUCCUGCCUCAGCUUCCUGAGUAGCUGGGACUACAGGUGCCUGCCACCACACCUGGCUGAUUUUUGUCUUUUUGGUAGAGAUGGGGUUUCACUGCGUUGGUCACGCUGGUCUCGAACUUUUGACCUCAGGUCAUCCACCCGUCUCAGCCUCCCAAAGUUCUGGGAGUACAGGCGUGAGCCACCAUGCCCAGCCUGAAUCCCCCUUCUCAAAAGUAACUUCCAUUCACUUUGUCCCUGGCAGUCUGCUGGUGACCAUGAUUUCUAAGGCUCACUCAUGGGACCAAAGGCAAGAAGAAAGGGAGGAGGGUGGUAACCAGAUAAACUUUGCAACCCCUUUGAUAGGACUUUUUGGGUGAGAAUUUUUAUGAAAAGUAAUAUAUACUUCUACUAUAGAUCUGCCUCUAGUUUCAACCUCUAGUUUUAGCACUGAUUUUUUCCCCUUAAUUUCCAGAAGCAUGAUAUAAUAUCUUUUUCAAAGAAAGUGGGAAGAAUGUCCACAGAUGUUAGGAGAAGACAAUUAUGUAGGAAAAAUAUUUUCUCAAAUUAAAAUUUAAAACAAAAGUUUGCAGGGAAUGGAGUGGGGUUCAGCAUUAGGGAGGUAGGAGAUGAUAAAAAUACAUAUUAAGUAAUUUGUACCCUGAUAUGCUUUGUAUGUAGAUUGCUUACAACUAACAUGAAAUGAGCAUUUCAUUCCUUAAGCAUGCUGUUGGGGGAAAAUGGGAGCCAGGCUGGAUGCACAAAUUUACACCAGAUGCUCUGUAUCCAGGUAGCAGAAAUGACUAACAGCACUGGUAUCCAUCAGUCCCAGAGCAAAAGCGUCUCCAGAGGAGGACAUCUGUAAAUCCCAAAUCUGAUCUCCUUCAUCAUCAUUAGGCAACAGAUAGGAUAAGACUUCAUGAAGAGAAUUUUGGUGGCUUUAGAUUGUUGAGAAAGUAUAUAUAGGAAAAAACUGGAAAUUAUGUCCAAGAUUUUUUGUCUAACUCCUUAUCCUGAUAUUGUUAACAUUUCACAACUAAAAUAAUUUUAACAGACAAUUAGUUUUUAAAAAUGUAUUUUCAUGACCUGAGACUACAGAAAUUGCCAUUUUCUUAGGACGUAGUUUACAUUUGACUCUGCUUACUGUGUCCAGGGCAUCCCCAAAUUGGGAGAGAUUGCCAAGUCAGUUGCCAUUUUGCCUUACUUUUACCAAGGACUAGCCUACAGGUUCAGUUUUGCUCUUGACUUUGGCCCUGAAUUGAGAACUGAGUCAAGAGAACAGAGUGGAAGUAUGGAGACAAAGCCAGCAGCUUUACUCAAAAAAUAUAUAUGAGUCUAGUAUUUUUUUUGUUUUUGAAAGACAUGUUACUGAGCCCAACCCAGUCAGGGAUCACUGAAUAUUGGGUUAAAUAAAACAAUAAUGUUAUUCAUGUGUUUGAAAUUAAUGUUUUAAAGAACCACGCACACACUUUAAAAUGUAACUGGAUUUGCUAUAUAGGCCAGAGAAAUAUGGCUGUUACGAUGAAGGCGUAACUUCUCUGGUUCUUGAUUAUUUACACCAUUAGAGAAGAAUGCAAAUAUGAAUAGCUCAGAGUAGUUUAACUUUGAAGUGAGAGUUUAUAUGCACCUUUAUAUGUGGGAUAACUGAUGUCUUUGGAAUAGACUUCAAAUGAAUGAUAAAAACACCUGUAAAGUGAUAGGACCUCUACUUUUUCUCAUGUCCAAUGUUCAGUUUCUUAUAAACCAGGCAUGAAGAGAAACAAAAAGUAAUUAAUUCUCCAGAUCAUGAAGUUGUCUUCAACCUAAGCACAGAGGUAUAAUAAUUACAUUUCUCAGAAGUUCCCCCUCUGUUUUGAGUCUCAAGGGCAAUUGAGAUGUCAGUGAGGCUGUGAUUAAAUGUAUUGGAUAUUAGAGGAUUUUAAAUACAAACAAGUAUUAUAGGUGUUACCACUGACCCCGAAGGUAAGAUUUACUGUGAAAAUUUAUAAUGCAAGGAAGAAUGAUCAAGUUGGCUGUCAGAACAACAAAAUAUUACAAACCAGGAUGUCUAAGAGCAGAAGUCCGUGGUUGCCACCUCUCAAGCCUCUUAGCUUAAUCCAAUCUAGGAUGCAUUUCCACUCUGCAACAAACAGUAUUUAUUUUUGCCUUAUUUGCAGAUAACAGUUUUAAUGCAGGUACUGCCCAUGGAUUAGCUUUGAGCAGUGUCUUUUUGCUUUGGUUUUUUUAUUUGUUUGGUUUGUUUUGAGACUGAGUCUCAGUCCUCCAGGCUGGAGUGCAGUGGUGUGACUUUGGCUCACUGCAACCUCUGCCUCCCGGGUUCAAGCGAGUCUCCUGCCUCAGCCUCCCAAGUAGCUGAGUCUACAGGCGUGAGCCACCAUCCCCGGCCAAGCAGUAUCUUUUUGCUUUGAAAGUGACUUACAUGUACAUUUGUUUUCCUUGUGAAUGUUUCUUUUUAACUGCAAACUAAGAAACAUUGAGCCCAGCAUUCAUAUAUUUGCAAACUCUGUCUUACUUAAUUUCUCAGUUUUUUUCCUCAGAAAAAAUGAAAUUCCUUUUCUUUUUUAAAUUUAUUUUUUCUUUAUUUUUCUUUAUAAAGUGAAGAGUAGGUAGCAUGAAUUCCUCUUGCCCUUUGCUAUUUCAGUCUGGCAUCAGUAGCAAUUGUUGCUAUGUCCAGUUUUCAUUCAUGGAUUUUUCUGGGAUUGAAGAUGAGUUCAAUGUUGAUUAUUUAAUUGGGCAGUAUAAGUAAAUUCAUUGGCUCUCCUUCCAGUUUAGUGAAUACUAAAUAUCAUCCAUGAUAUUUUAUACUUCUUACACUUCUGGAAUCUAACCUGAAAAUAGAAGUUGUAAGUCAGGGACGGUGGUAUGUGCCUCUAGUCUCAGCUAGUUGGGAGGCUGAGGCUUGAGCCCAGGCCUUCAAGGCUGUAGUGCACAAUGACUGUACUUGUGAAUAGCCACUGCACUCCAGCCUGGGCAACAUAGCAAGACUCCCACCCCUUAAGAAAAAAGAAGAGAGAAAAAAAUAGAAGUUGUGGAGAGGGAGGAGGAUGCUUGAAUACUUUGACCGUACUUGGCAUAAUAGACAUUUUGAGGGUUUUUUUGUUUUCUUAAAAUUCCUCUGGAUCAGUUUUCAUUGUUUCUAGUAAUUAUAUUUAUCGUUAAUGAAUUCAUAUUCUGCUCUAGCCCCUAAAGAUAGUUUGAUAUGCUAACUUUUGUUUUGCCUUUCUAGCUGCUAAGAUAGAUAAUGGUUAUUGCAAAAUGCACGUUUUUAAAUGGUCUCCAGUGUGGAUUGCUUCUGAGCUGCUGAUGGAUUGAAUACAUUGAGAAGGAAUGUGUCAUUUGGAAUCCAGGACCAGUCAGCAAGGAUAACUGCCUGAUUUUAUGAUUUCGUGACUGAUGCUGAAAUGGAAGCCAACCACUGCAGAAAUUUGGGGGAAAAUGAGAUCUGAAGAAUACAAGGGGAAGUAGGAAUUCAUUUCUAGCAUUUCCAAACCUGCUUAAUCGUGUCUGCUCCACCACAGUCAGAGGAAAAGACUGAGUUCAUGGAAAUUACCAGCUAAGCCUUACAUCUGUCUUUAAUGUUUUUAGGAAGUAUACUGAAAAGGUAAGUGAGAUGUCUGUUUUGAAGAAAGACUCUUACUGGGUACCUUAAAACCCGUUGUUUCCUAUUAGUAAAGAUGGGCAGCUUCUUUAUUCCUAGCUUCAAAAAGCCUUGCCCCUGUUUGGUGUGUUUCUCAGUAUUGUGGAGAAGGUAGUUUCUGAGCAAGGUGGUGCUUUUCCUCUGCUUCUCAGCAGCUAAGACAGAAAUUGCACCGAAGUGUACAAAGGGCCAAUUUUUGUUGUCCUGUUGUGCUCAAAUCCUUUUUUUUAAAAAAGUUAUUUCAAUCAAGUCUUAGUUUUAUUCCUCACUAUAUAGGAAAAAAAUCUUUAAUGCCUCAAAAGUUCCAUUCAGCAUUACAUUUGCAUUACUCUUAUUUGCAGCAAAUAUGAGUAAAAUUAUAGGUUUUUAAAGGUCUCUAAUAACAUCCACUUAUAUUGGUUUUGUAGAUAAUCCAUAAAUUACCAGAAAUAAAUUAUUCCACAUUUAUUACACACCCAUGUAAUAGAUGUCGUGCCAGGCCCUGGAAUAUACUAAUGGCAUCACCUCAUGUGGUAAAAAGACACAUUCCGCCAUCCUGGAGUAUACAAAGGUAGACUAGCAUAUAGUUCAUGUGCUCAAGGAGUUCAUUUUUAUUGACAUGAUACAGAUAGAAUUGUAGUUUAGGGAAUCAAAAUCUAAUAAAAUGAGGCUAAUUCCAUUUUCCCAUUAACACUAAUAACUAGUGUGUAAAUCUGAAUAUGACACAUUCUAUAUGAAAGAAGCUCUGUGUGCAUCUACACUAAAUACUCGUGUGUGCCAGGUACUGUUUUAAACUACGUAUAUUUUUUUAAUUCUCAUAACUGUUCUCUGAGGUAUGUACUAAUACUAAAGCUUAUUGUUAAAGGAAGGCAGAAAAAUUAAGUAACUUGGCCUAAGUUUGCAUAACUGUGAUCUGGGAUCAAUAUUUGAACCCAUACAGGCUGAUUGCAGAGCCUGCACUCUUAAUUUGAGUGUGAUAUUUAUGUGCAGUACCUGGCUAUAAGUACCCACAAAACGUUUCAAAUUCUUUAUAAAAUUUGCUUAGUUAAAAAAGUACCAAUUGCAUAAUAUGGUUAUAAGUCUGGUAGAAGUUAGGCUUUUUACAAGACAUGCUGCUUACUGCACCAAGGAGGCAAGAAGGCUUUUUAGAGAGCCCAGAAUUUCCUUUCCUCAACUCCUGCUUCCAAGACAGUCAUUUUGCAUGAUAACCGUUUCCCCAAAAAACACAGACACAAAAUUUAAAGAACUGGAACAGAGGAAGCAGAGCUUAUCAUAGUAUAUAUGUUUAGUACCCUGUCACUUAGGUCCACCCCUCUUUCUUUGUGGAUUGUGGACAUUUUGUUUAACUGCUAAAUCAUGAGAAUAUAUGACUGCUGAGACUUUUCCAAGGAUUUUUUAAAAAACACAUUAGGCUUUGUGCAGAAGUAAAGAAAAAGUGCUGUGAGAACCCCAGGUAGGUAAUUUACUUUCUAUUGUACUCAUAGUUUGUUUGAAACCUCUUCACCUCUAUCCCUUAUUGUUUUAUACUCUGUAAAUCUGAUUUUACCUUUAAUAAACUUUUCUGAAGUGAGU
ensembl:lncRNA LINC01355 long intergenic non-protein coding RNA 1355